rnacentral:rRNA from 1 species
UACGGAGGGUGCAAGCGUUAUCCGGAUUCACUGGGUUUAAAGGGUGCGUAGGUGGGUUGAUAAGUCAGUGGUGAAAUCCCCGAGCUUAACUUGGGAACUGCCAUUGAUACUAUCAGUCUUGAAUACCCGUGGAGGUCAAGCGGAAUAUGUCAUGUAGCGGUGAAAUGCUUAGAUAUGACAUAGAACACCAAUUGCGAAGGCAGCUGGCUACUCGGAUAUUGACACUGAGGCACGAAAGCGUGGGGAUCAAACGG